UUUUUUGUCUUGCGUGUGUUGUCAUUGGCUAUGAGGAGUGCAGAGAGGCUGAGAAACGAAGUCAGGAAACAGAUUAAAACCAAUGUUUGAAUGUUGCCUCGGUUUGUCAGUACUGUGAGAAAACUUAAAUACUGAAGAGCAUGGAUGCUAAAACAAGCAUCGAAGCUGGUUUUUGUGUGACCCGAGCGAGGCUGGACGCCGAAUGUGUCGCAGUUUCCUCCAGGUGUCGCCACUUUAUCCACCACAUAGUCCACGGUCGCCGAGACAUUGUCCAUGAUUGGAGAGACAUUGUUGAGGAUGAGGGAGACAUCAUCCAUGAUCAGAGACAUUGUCCAUGACUCACAGAGACGUGCAAAAAUUGCAGUGACGGAGUUGACCAAUUUGAAGGCAUUGUCCGUGAUCAGAGAGACAUUGUCAAUAAUCACAGAGACUUUGUCCAUAAUCUCAGAGACAUUGUCCACGAUCACAGAGAUGUUGUCCAUGAUCACAGAGAUGUUGUCCACGACUUGUCUCACAUCUCCACAGAGAGUUAUUGUACAAUGAAGAGACCAGGACAUAGGCCUCCAGUUUCUUCCAGGUGUCACCACUUCAUCCACCACAUAGUCCAUGAUUGCCGAGACAUCAUCCAUUAUUGCAGAGACUUUGUCCAUGAUCGGAGAGACAUUGUUGAGGAUGAGGGAGACAUCGUCCAUGAUCAGAGACAAUGUCCAUGAUCGCAGAGACCUUGUCAAAGAUGAGAGAGACGUUGUCCGUGAUCAGAGACAUUGUCCCAUGCUUCGUAGAGACCUUGCAAUAGAAUCGGCGGAGACGGGGGUCACCGAUUUGACGGCAUUGCCCGCGAUCAUGGAGACAUUGUUAAUGAUCACAGAGGCACCGUCUAUGAUCUCAGAGACAUCGUCCACGAUCACAAAGUCAUUGUCCAUGAUCGCAGAGACUUUGUCCAUAAUCUCAGAGACAUUGUCCGCGAUUGCAGAGAGUCUUUGAGACCAAGACAGAGGCCUCCAGGUGACACCACUUUGUCCACAACAUCGUCCACAAAUGCAGAGACUUUGUCCAUGAUCGGAGAGACAUUGUUGAGGAUGAGGGAGACAUCGUCCAUGAUCAGAGACAUCGUCCACGAUCACAAAGUCAUUGUCCAUGAUCGCAGAGACUUUGUCCAUAAUCUCAGAGACACUGUCCGCGAUUGCAGAGAGUCUUUGAGACCAGGACAGACGCCUCCAGGUGACACCACUUUGUCCACGACAUUGUCCACGAUCGCAGAGACUUUGUCCAUGAUCGGAGAGACAUUGUUGAGGAUGAGGGAGACAUCGUCCACGAUCAGAGGCAUUGUCCAUGAUCGCAGAGACCUUGUCA